rnacentral:lncRNA from 1 species
GUGGAUCAUGAUGCUCUUAAUUUGGUGCAGUUUAUUAAUUACAAAGGAGCACAGAAGCUGAGCGAUGGAGGGAAAGGACUUUGCUGGGAUUCUGAAACAACAGAAGCCUGCUUAAUCCACCCCUAAAGCUUCUUGGCUAACAGCAUUCCUUCCUGCGGAAAGGCUUCUUUAUGGGCAAGUUUGGAGCACAACAAAACCUAGAAGGACUGAUGCAAUUGCCCCCACAUUCUGCUGUCAACAGCUGGGUUUUCCUCCUCCCUCCUGCUCCCGAACCAGCAGUGAUUCCACUUCAGAUCUGAGCAGAGCUCAGGGAGGCUCAGCAGGCGGUGGAGGCGGUUGCAGAAAUGGAGAGGGAUCCACCGGGGUGGGAGGCGGCAGGGAGGUGGUACGGCACUGUGGGAGUGGCGGGUAAACACUCAUUGUGAUAUUUAAAUCAAGUUCCCUUCUGAAGGGAGCUCAUUAAACAUCUGAUAUCUCGUGAUCCUUACUCCCAG